AGUGAACGCUGGCGGUAGGCCUAACACAUGCAAGUCGAACGGCAGCACAGUAAGAGCUUGCUCCUACGGUUGGCGAGUGACGGACGGGUGAGGCAUACAUCGGAAUCUACUUUUUCUUGGGGGAUAACGGAGGGACACUUACGCUAAUACCGCAUACGUCCUACGGGUGAAAGCAGUGGUUCUUCGGACCUUGCCUGACUGAUUGAGCCGGCGUCGGAUUAGCUAGUUGGCAAGGUAACGGCCCACCAAGGCAACGAUCCGUAGCUGACCUGAGAGGAUGAUCGGCCACAGUGGAACUGAGACACGGUCAAGACUCCUACGGGAGGCAGCAGUAGGGAAUCUGCCGCAAUGGGCGAAAGCUUGACGGAGCAACGCCGCGUGAGUGAUGAAGGUCUUCGGAUCGUAAAACUCUGUUAUUAGGGAAGAACAAAUGUGUAAGUAACUAUGCACGUCUUGACGGUACCUAAUCAGAAAGCCACGGCUAACUACGUG
rnacentral:rRNA from 1 species